rnacentral:rRNA from 1 species
AUGGGGGGGGUGGCUUCUCCUAGAACCCCUGGUAGUAGAUGUUUUAAAUUUGAUAACGCCUGGUUGAACAAUCCUGAGUUUCUUCCUCUAGUAGCUGCAAUUUGGGCGCAGCCUGUUUACACUAGUGAUCCUAUUGAUGUGUUAAAUAUCAAGUUGAAAAGAAUUAAGAAAUUCUUCAAAGGAUGGGGAUCAAACAUUUUUGGUCGGAAUAAGAUUAGGAAAAACCUUAUCAGACUCGAGCUUCAGGAGCUGGAGAAUAUGGAAGAAGAAAAUGACCUGUGUGGGGAAGCCUAUACUAGGAAGUUGAAUAUCCUAGUAGAACUUAAUGACAUGUAUACCGAGGAAGAGACCCAUUGGCACCAGUUUUCGAGUGGGAGAUGGCUCCUAAAAGGGGACAACAACACUGGCUUCUUUCACAAGGUAGCCAAUGGGCAUCGUAGGAAAAAUUCCAUGGUUUCAUUGGAGUGUGGUUCUGUGGUUAUAGAAGGGACCAAAAACCUGCUAUCCCAUGCUACCAAUUACUACAGAGAGUUGUUUGGACCAGCCCCUGGCAACAUUUGCCAAAUCGAUGCUUCAUUAUGGUCCCAGGAUGAAAAGAUCAUGCCUGAGGAUAAUGAGUACCUGACCCGCCCUUUCUCUCUUGAGGAAAUCAAGACAGCAUUGUUUGCGAUGAAACCUAAUCGCGCUCCUGGACCGGACAAUAUUCCUGCAGAAUUCUAUCAACAUUGCUGGGACGUUGUGAGUCCGGAGAUGUUCAACGCUUGA